UACGUAGGGGGCGAGCGUUGUCCGGAUUUAUUGGGCGUAAGGAGCGUGUAGGCGGCCAGGUAGGUCUGCUGUGAAAACUCGAGGCUCAACCUCGAGACGUCGGCGGAAACCAUCUGGCUAGAGUCCGGAAGGGGAGAGUGGAAUUCCUGGUGUAGCGGUGAAAUGCGCAGAUAUCAGGAAGAACACCCGUGGCGAAGGCGGCUCUCUGGGACGGUACUGACGCUGAGACGCGAAAGCGUGGGGAGCGAACAGG
rnacentral:rRNA from 1 species